UGCGUGAUAGAAUAAUGGGGAAUUCACAGGAAUUUGGGCCCUGCCUAUCCCAGUUCGAAUCUGGGUCACGCAU
rnacentral:tRNA from 1 species